rnacentral:tRNA from 1 species
GCCCCUGUAGCUCAAUCGGACAGAGCGUCGUCCUUCGACGGCGAAGGUUGACGGUUCGAGUCCGUCCAGGGGCG